rnacentral:misc_RNA from 1 species
GAAAGGGUCUUAAUUUUUUAAGUUGACGUUUGUUUAUUAAUUUGACAAAUGUGUAGAUAGAGAAGCACCUUGAUGCUUCCGGGUGUUUCCACAUAGACAUUAGGCACAAUGGAUUUCAUAUGAUGACUAUUUAGUGUACUGUUUACAGCAAAAUGCCGCUACGGCGAAGACGAGAUGCCACCGAAGUGAGCUGCUGCAUCAAAUAUUUGAUGUUUGCCUUCAAUGUUCUCUUCUGGAUUAUCGGUGGCUCACUGUUUUGUAUAGGAAUAUGGGCAUGGAUAGAGAAAGACAUGUUUGCAAACAUCGGCAAACUGACAAACAUUUCACUGGACCCGGCUCUGUUGUUCAUUCUGUGUGGAGGUGUUAUGUUCAUCAUUGGAUUUACAGGCUGUGUCGGAUCUCUCAGGGAAAACACGUGUUUACUGCUUUUUUUUAUGGUAGCUGUAGGACUGAUCUUCUUCCUAGAACUCUUACUGGGAAUUUUGGGAUUUGUGUAUAAAAACUGGGUCAAAGAUCAGAUAGAGAGUCAGGUAACCAAUAUGAUAGUACAGUACAGGGAGGAUGCUGAUCUUCAAAACUUGGUCGACUGGGUGCAGCAAGACUGGCUCGAUUGCUGUGGCAUACAGAGCUACAAUGACUGGGAGUUUAACAUGUACUUCAACUGUACAUCUCCAGGAGUAGAAGCUUGUGGUGUUCCGUUUUCUUGUUGUAAAGAUACAGGGAGUGCAAUUAUAAACAGGCAAUGUGGCUUUGAUAUGAUGAAAACAACACAUGAAAUAGACCGCACUACAAAGAUUAAAGUGAUUGGCUGUAUGCCUGCUGGGGAAAAGUGGUUAGAAACCAAUCUUAUUCCUGUGGCAGGUGUGGCUGUUGGUGUAGCUUUAUUGCAGAUUUUGGGAAUAUGCUUUGCUCAGAACUUACGAAGUGAUAUACAAGCACAGCGUGCCAAGUGGCACUAUUGACUAGUGGCCGGGAGACACGAGUUGUCUCCCUUGCAGAGAACUACUGCUGUCUGAUUUCGUCCAGUUUCACUGAACAAUAAUGGUGAUAUUUUACAGACCAUCAAACUUACUCUUUAAUUAUAGUGUGGCAAGACUAAUACUGAUGUUUUAAUCAUCACUUCAGAAGACAGUUCACACUAGGGACCAAUCAUAUUACACUUUUGUUUUACAGUUACAAAUUGUGCAAAAACUAAACAAAUGUUAACAGUACUGUAGAUUUCUUUUUCAUGUUUCACAGAUAUAAUGAGAUUUAGGAAAGAAAUACUGCAAGUGAUAUUUGUUUUUAACACUUGCAUUGCAAUCCCACCUGUUACUGGCAAGCAGGGGUUAUAUUAGCCCCACUAGUUACGAAAAGUAAGUGCUUACUUCGUUGUUUUAUUUCCCACCAUUGUCUAUGUUUUGUUUCUAUGCAAACCAGUAGAGCCGAAUUUGUGAAGAGUGGUGAGCACAAUUUUGUGUAAUACCUAGGACACACUUUCCGAUUAACACUGUAACACUGACUAGACAGUCGAGUUGGCUGUAGUGUGAAAAUGUGAGUCAACACACACCAGCCAAUGUGAUGAUCUUGUUGGCAUUACGAAGGUUCUGAUUACAGACAAAAUUACAGACUAUAUGUAACAGUAGCAUCUUUGCUCAGCAGACACCUACCAAGUAAUGAGUUCAGAGAUGUCAGUAUGGCUGAAAUGAUGGUUUUGUCGGGAAGUGUGUGCCAGGCUUAAUUCUUAAACAUGGACAAGAUAAAACUUGUGUGCAUGCGGUUAAACACCAGCAUGCUAUUGUACCACAUAGAGAAUACGACAUGGGUGGCUGUUGGAUAUCAUUUAUCUUGCAACAUAUUUUAAAACAUCUAAUGAGAGGAAGUGUGUUGAUACAUUUUUGAACAAUGUGCUGUGAGAUAAAUAAUAUCUAACAGACAUGAAUGUAGUGUUCUAUUCUUGCAUAUGCUCAAAAACCAGGUUAAAAUAAAUUUAUAUGUCUUCUCCAACCAUUUGCAUGUAUGGUGCUUGCGCUUUUGCAUCCAAAGUAAUCGGUUUCAGGUUAACUUAUUAAUCACAAAGAUAACAAUUUCUAUUAUAUCUCUUUCAUUAGAUGGUAUAGCUGUGGUGGCCUGGUCAUCAUCACCAAGGAGUAGCUAGUGUUUUUCUUUAGAUUGAUAAUACACAUUUUUGUGGUAUUGGUGUGUGUUAUCAUAAAUAACAUAUAUUCUCACCAACAGGUGUGUAAAAAAUAUCUGUUAUAGUACAAGUUUGACCUUAAUUCUGUGAGCUACAUAUGUGUCACCUCCACUCCUAUUUAUUCUCAAACUGCAUGAAAAUGUCCAUUAAAUAAUGAAUAAAUUACAAUUAUUUACAUUUUAAUUAUGAUGUAACGCUGCAGGCUAUUGUAGGGAUCUACUAGUCUAAGAUAUAAGUAAGGAGAGUGGUGUUUUUUACUUGUUAAAUUAGUGAAUCCAUGUAUUUAUUUAGCAGACAUACUUAUACGAACUGUGCUCAUAUCUUAUUACCAAAUAAUAAUUAGAUCAGGCGUAAAUACGGCAAUGGUGUAUUUAUAGAAUUAUUUUCAUAGUCUCAUUAACACAAAUAUUAUUCUUACAUCUGUGGCUUUCAUUUCUUAUUGAUUUUAUAUUAUUGUAUUUGUAGAGGAUGAAGUGGUCUUAAACAUAAUCGCCAUUUCACAAGUACAAAGUCAUUUGUGCUCAUGUUUCUCUUGGCUUAUAAUAAGACGAGAUAAUGGUACUUAAUUAUUUUAGCUUUAAGUUCAUCUCUAAUAACCAUAAAGGUGCAUUCGUGCAAAUUACUUGUGAAUUGACGAUUACUAAUUCAUUUACUAAAUUAUAAAUUAAAUUACAUUCAUCUGAGAUGGAUGCCCCUCCAUAUCCCAACCACUAAUUAACUUCCUGGGACAAUGGCCCAACCUUUCCCACCAAUCCACUCUUCCUUGCAAGGGCUUAAAUAAAUUUUAAAAUAAUAUUAAUUUUAAUAUUUUAAUUUAGAAUGCCCGUUCAUAAAUUGCGACCAAAUUGUUAAAAAAAUUAGUUAUUUUAUUAUUUUGGAAAUGCCGUAAUAUUCAAAAUUGACCCAGAAAAUCAUUUCUGUCCUGAGUCAAGCCCCUGGCUAUACAGAGGCAGGACCCGGGACAGACAUGCUCGAAACUUUCAUGGUAUAUGAGCAUGACAAAAUUAUCUCUCUGCUCAUCUGAGAUUUCUGGUAUAAUAGCGUUCUUAUCUAUAUUAAACAUGUGUGAGCAAUUGUAUGUUACUUAAACAUUCAUUUUACUUGCAUAUUUGUGUUCAAAUAACUAGACUGUGGAGACACUAAACAUGUCGCUCAUUUAUCUACAUUUUAUUAGAUACCUUAAUACCAGCAUGCUGCUCAUAUGUCUUCAUUUAUCAAAAUAACAUGUUGCUCAUGUUUCUACAGUUAAUGGAAUAGUACAUAUUGCUCAGGUAUCUAUAGUAACAUAACAUUUUUCACAAUCAUUGAGCAAUGCACAUUGUAGGCACCAUAAUUUUCCGACCAAUAUCAUGUUACUUAUUUAUAUACAUUUUGGACACCAUCUUAUUUUUGUAUAUCUACUGGGCCACAGGAAAAUGUCAAGACGUCAGUGUCACCCUGUUAAUGUAUUUAUGUCAGUCUGGAAUGACUAACCACAUGUCGAAGGACGGUUUGAAAUGCCUAUUUGUUGUCGAUCAAAAUAGGUUUAUGUGAACAAUUAGUUUUACGUUUAUUUUUCUCAAGGGAGAUAAUAAAGAUGCUGGAAAACAUUUGUGGAUGUUUUGUCCAUUAAACCCCCACCCCCCACCCCACCCCACCCCCCACCCCCCAUUUUUUUUUUUUUUAUAAACCCCCGUCAUUUUGGAAAAGAAAUUUGUCUUAGAACAUGUAAACUAUUUUUAGAAUAACUUUUUGAAGGUCAUACAAUUUAGGCAGAAAUCAGUGUACUGCUUAUAGAAAUAACAAGAUUAGAAAUGAAUACCUCUUGUGAGUGUUUGGCCAAUUUCAAACCAUUUGCCAUUUUCACAUUAUAUUGAUAAAGAUGUUGAUAUAUGUUGCUCAGUUUUAAAAUAGGAGUUGAGAUUAUUUCCUUGUUUCCACUACAAAAAUCAAAUAUAAAAUCAGUUAUCUACAUUACAUGUAAGUAUAAGUAGUAAUACAUAAUUAUUGAAAUCUAUUUUCAUAAAAAAAAGAGUGUUGUAACAAUGUUUGAUAUGUUUUGAAUAUUGUGAUAAUCCAUUUACCUGUCAACAAUUGUACAAACUUACAAGCAUGUUUUCUUUAUAUUAUCAGUUAUAUCAUUUUUUAUUAUAGAUAUGAAUUUACUUUCUAUGAAACAUUUGUAAAUAUAUGCACAGUCAUAUCUGGAUGCCUUUCACUCGUUACUUUUGAUUUGAUUUUCAAUUGCAUAUUUUUUACAUCAAUAAUUGUGAGAUAAUAUAUGAAAAUAAAGUUUUAGUGUUGUAGUAAACCUAACAAAACUUACAUACAUGUAUUUAAAAACUACUUUUUGAAUUGACACAUUGGAUAUUGUACAAAUAUUAACAUCUUACCAAAAAAGACGACUAAUUACAUGAAGAUUGAUCAAGAUUUGUCAUGCGAGAUAAAAACAAUAUUGGGUCAGUGAUGAGGCAAUAUCAACUUUAUGCUCUUCAGGAUAAGAGGAGAAUUGCUUGGCAAAUAUUAUGGAGGUCUCCAAACUUACCUUCACAGGAUAAAGCGGACCUAAGCAAAAAUGAUUAGAAUGCAUCAUGUUCCUGAUUGUUGUUAGUGUUCUUAAAAUUGGUUCCUGUUAAUGCAAAACUAUAAUAAUCAUCAAAUUUCAUAAUACAAGCAGUUAUUCUCAUCUUUAUUAUAAAAAAAAUUUCCCGUUAUAACAACUUACUUGAUUAAUUUGGCAAGUGUUUACAAUUAUAAUUUUAUCAUACAGUUAAAAGGUUUGUUGUUUUGUGUAAGAAGCAAACUUGAUGAAAGUUUAAUGUUUAUUUUAUUGGAUUUUUUUUUUUUUACAAAUCUGGAGGGUAGGUAAGAAUGAAAAAGAAAACACUUACAAGUCUCAUUUUAGAUUAUGCCAGAUAUACCAUUGUCUUGCUCUUUUGAGUUGAUGUUUUCUCAUUACAGUUUUUUCUUUUCCUUAAACUGGUUGGCAUUUUUUCAAAACAGGAAUAUGUUUCAAGUACAUAACACUUUUAAGUAUGUAUGGGGGAUCACAAAAUGUUCAUGGAGAUAGAAAGGUAUGUUUGUCAAGACUUAAGUAAAUGCUUUCAAAACCAUAUGUCAUUUUUGUUUUGCCUUAAUAAAGUAAAUAGGUGAGAUAUGGGUAUUACUUCCUUGACAGCAACAACAGCAGCAACUUUUGUAUUAAAGUUUUACAUACAGAUCCAGUUCUCUCAAACUAUAAGUCCUAGAUUAGUGAAACUUGGUUUAUAGUUGCACCUGUAUAUGUUCAUCACAGUGGUCCAAAAACGUUUAUGGUAGGUAAGACAUUUAAUUCCAAAGAAGUCUUGUUAUUCAUAAAUGAAUUACCGGCAGUAAUGGCCAAUUUUUCUAGUACAGAUGCUUUUUGAAUGAAGUAUUUAUUACUAUCCAGCAAACAAAUCAAAAAUAUUAACAAGAAACCAAAUAAUCUUAUUCGAAUUAUGUCUUGGUGACCGUGAAAGGAAUGGAUUGAUGAGUAUUACAUAAGUUCAAAGGAAGGAGUGGUCUCCAUGUAUACAAAUGGCCUGAAUUUUCAUUACAUAUUUGUUGAAAUCGCAAAUCUUUUAUACGGUAUGUGAAAUAAAAAAUUUAACAUCCUUUUUUUCUUUCUUUUCUUAGUGCUAAUUUGUGUGACUAAAUAAAUGUCAAUUGUGAUAGGUAGUAGAUUUAUUUUUACCUGUAUAUACAUUACAAAUUUGUUUUGUUUUUUAAAACUUUUUGUUAAUUUAUGUUGCUUCUCAGUUUACCAAAUUGUACUACAUCAAUAGUACAUGUAUCACUGGAUGAAUGAAGGCGAUUAAUUUGUUGAUGUCAGCAGCUUUUUUUUUCACUGAAUCAGACUGCUAUAUUUUAAAAUUUUAGAAUCUAGCUUUGAAGCUCCUAUACAAAGCUUUACAUUUAUCCAAAGAAAAUGUUUUUUUAUCAAGUUAUCAUUGGUAUCCGAUAAUGUUUAUAUUGACAUUUGGGAGGAUGUUUGUUUUGUUUUGUUUUUUGUUUUGUUUUCUGUGUACACCAAAUAUAGAAUCUUUAAUUCCUGGAGAAAUUAAAAAAGUAGUUUUUAAACUUUUCUGCUAAUAUUUUAUUGUAGGAUAUUUCAGAUUUAGUUUUGGUUAACAUUUUGUGUAAACUCAAAAUUAAGUAAUUUCUGUAUGUUGAACUAUGUCCCUGUUAUUCACUAUUAUUUUAUAUAUUUUAAGCUUAGGCAUUUUAUCAAAAAUCUUUUGUAAACAUUUUAUAUUGCAUGUAUUUGUUCAUUUGAAAUAUUAAGCUGUCACCUUUAGCGUAACAAAUGUGCAUUAUGAUUACAAGGGAUAGGUGUUAUAAGCAUGUGCUUGUUUGCCAAUUCCAUUCCUAACAUUGGAAGUAAAUAUUAUUUAAAAUAUAUAUAUGUAUAUUAAGAUGCACGUAAGUAUAUAAAUAUUUACUAUCAUCAUUCAGUAAAUUAUUCAAUGUCCUCUCUGUACUCAAAUGUGCAAUCCUUUUGAUUUGUUCUGUAAAUUAUUUCUGAAGCAUUAACUGUUAUAUUCAACAAUAUUUAUUACCGCCUUUGGUCUUGUUCAGAUUUGAUGUUCAAAUUGUCAAGAACAUGGUAUAUGGUUAGUCAGUAACCAUGGACUCAGUCUGAUUAGUUUAUUUUAAUUUUUAACUGACAAUGUAUCUGGUCACUGGAUCUGGUGUCAUCGUAAUGACUCAUCCUGAUUAACAUUACAUUGUUGUAAAUAAUUCUUUGCAAUGUGAUCAGACUUCAGGCUGUAUAUAUUUUUAUUUUUAUUGAAUUUAAAUUUGACUGCUUUGAUUUAAAAUAGGUCGAAGUGUUAUUUUCAAACUGAAGUGAAUUUAAAUUUGACUGCUUUGAUUUGAAAUAGGUCGAAGUGUUAUUUUCAAACUGAAGUGAAUUUAAAUUUGACUGCUUUGAUUUAAAAUAGGUCGAAGUGUUAUUUUCAAACUGAAGUGAAUUUAAAUUUGACUGCUUUGAUUUGGAAAAGGUCAAAGUGUUAUUUUCAAACUGAAGUGAAUUUAAAUUUGACUGCUUUGAUUUGGAAAAGGUCAAAGUGUUAUUUUCAAACUGAAGUGAAUUUAAAUUUGACUGCUUUGAUUUAAAAUAGGUCGAAGUGUUAUUUUCAAACUGAAGUGAAUUUAAAUUUGACUGCUUUGAUUUAAAAUAGGUCGAAGUGUUAUUUUCAAACUGAAGUGAAUUUAAAUUUGACUGCUUUGAUUUAAAAUAGGUCGAAGUGUUAUUUUCAAACUGAAGUGAAUUUAAAUUUGACUGCUUUGAUUUGAAAUAAGUCAGUGUCAUUUUCAAAUUGAAGGCAUCGAACUUGGAUAUUAGUAAUUAUCAUACAAGAUGAUAGAGAUAUAUUCACAUUUCUUUUUUUCAAUAAUAUUAAGAGUGAAGUAUAAAAUGGGCUUUGGAUAAAGAAUUAUAUUUGUUUUGUUUUUUAAAAAAGGUAAAGUGGAUUCUAUUAAAAUCGGCAUCUGUAUACAGUUAGACCUCAUUACACAGGUAGACCUCAUUACAAUAACCGUCGUUACUACGACACUUACACCAUCCGACCACAAAUUGUCAGGAACAAACGUACAUCAGUGUUAUUCUGUUCAUUACACCGGAAUUCACACCUUCCAACACCGACAGAGCAAAUUAGGAACAAACAUGCAUCCAACAUCUGAAAACACCUUUUACAAUGACAUUACAUAAUCACAGAUACCGUAGCAUGUUGGCAGUACACACAUACCCACUUAGAAUCCUUGAUCUCGUAGUGAGCCGACUGUGUCACAUGCUGUUCGAGCUACCGAUGUCUGAAAUCUGUAGACAUGUUUUGCUUUUGCAAAUCAGCCUUUUGUUAACCAAUUAAAGGAUUAACUUCGAACAAUAAAAUCUUCUCUUUUCAUGAUAUUUUGUAAACGAAACAGGUACCAAUCGUAGAUGUCUUGAUUGGACUGAAGAUGAAUGUGCCUUGUUUAAUAUAUUUAAUGAUGUUUUUUAAAACACAUUUAAUAUAUGUACCUGCAUUUGUGUUUUGAUAAUAAUCGCAAUGCAUUAAUUAUUUAAAUGCUAUUCAGUCAUCAGUUAACAUUAAUUAGUAUUUUUUGUUACGUUAUUUUGGCAAUGGAGAUAACUCAUUACAAUUUGAUACACCGGCAAUUUCGAUAUAACGACAAAGAGACCCAGGGACAAACAUGGUCGUUGUAACGAGGUCUGACUGUAAUUACAAUUUUUAUGUAACCUGGCACAAUCCCAUCCAGUGUAUUAAAUUUGUUGCAUAAAGGGAUGUGUUUAUCCGUACUCUCGUAGAUUAAUAUUUUGCAGGUUUUGGGAACCUUUAGAAUUGACUUUUGACCGACACUCUGUCAAAAAAAAAAAGAACAAGUGAAAUCCAAUGUUUUCUAUAUACCUCAAGUAUACUUGCCCAUUUCAUAAAUCCCAUCUGAAUCCACUGUAAACGGUUUUGUUAAUUUCAAUUUAUAAUUUAAAAAAACCAGACACAAUUAAAACAAAUUGAAUGUAUUUAGAUAAAUUUUAACAUUUUUAAUAUACAUUAAAUUAAAAAAAUUAUGCUUAUUCUGUAAAUGUUUUUGUUACCAUUAUAUACAGAUGAUAUAAAUGCUACAACCUACAUUUAAAAUAAAUGUUGAUAUUUGGAAGUGAUUUGGUGAGGUAACUGUGAUGCAUGUUUUUAUUGUAAUAACACAAGUACUGACGACAGAGAUCUCUCUGUACCUGUGAUGUAAACCAACCAUGUCACCCUGAACAUAGUCAUGUUGCACAUAUAUUGUCAAGUAUAAAUGUUUAUAUAUUAUAUGGGUAUUAAGCAUUUUACUUUCUUCUGUUUAGUCAUUAGAUUUUAUUACCAGUUCAGCAGUUGUAAAUGGCAAUAAAUGUAUCAUCUUUAUAAAAAAUC